CAUAUCCUCUUCCUGUUUCAGCAAGGAAUGAUUAAAGUUGAGCUGAUGUCAACGUGUGCUGGGCACCCUGGGACCCAAGUCUCAAAGUGAAACAUAUCCGAGUUCAAGUAAUCCAACCAGCUUCCAGCUUGUUUCUGCAGUGGAGAAAUCGUGCAUUUUGACACCAGCUCUUCAUUUGAUAAUCACUUCCAGAAUUCCCCUUAUCAAAGACGCAGAAGGUAACAAGCCUUCCUCCAUGAGGCCUUCUUAGACUGUUCCAGACACUCCGACUUACCCAACUGAUGUCAUCCAUGAGUACAAAACACAUUUACCCACCAUCUGCCUUAACGAAAGGGGCAAAGGCUUUGAUACAGUGUCUUCACUUGGGGAGACACCACAAUCCCCUGGUCAUCUUCUACAUUUCUGGCCAUCCUUUCUCAGCCUCCUUGGCCAGUUCUUCCUAGAGGAAUGUCCCCACUUUCACAGUUAAGUACCAUCUCUGUGCCAAUGACAUACAAUUUUUUUCUGUUUACACCUUGGGUCUCUUUCCUGAAUUCCAAACCUGUACCUACCACUUACCUAAUUUUGAUGCUUCGUGAUCUGUCUCACUGCACUGAACUGGCUUCAUUACAAGAAGAAUGACUUUGGUUACUACUCUAUUAUCAGGGCCUAAAAUAAUGUCCAGCACAUGAGAGGAACUUAUACAUCACUGGGGCGGAGGGGGGGCGGUGAAUGAAGAGUGAAAAGUCAUGACUGAUCAGUGUUCUCAUGGAGACUUCACUGUCUCAGCCCAUGAACCUCAAAUUCUCAGAUGACCCCAAAGAGCACAAAGGACAGGCAGCAAGUUGACCCCAAAAUGCUCAUAGUUCAACAGCUAAUAUAGUGAUAGAUGCAGCACACAGAAAGUGUCCUGGAGCAGAUGCCUGGAAUCUAAUGAUCAGAACCGAAUAACGACUGGGUCACUCAGGAAGGAGGUUUGUCAGUCUGGCACACAGUGAACGAAGAGGAUCAGAGGGUGGCUCUGUCACUGCCCAACCAAGAACCGUCUGGGGCUCAGGUAAGGGGUCUCUCUCACAGAUAGGCCAGAAAAGUCAUUUUUGUAAUGUUCAUUUAUUUUUGAGAGAGACAGAGUGUGAGCGGGGGAGGGACAGAGAAAGAGGGAGACGCCGA